rnacentral:rRNA from 1 species
GACGAACGCUGGCGGCGUGCCUAAUACAUGCAAGUCGAACGGUUUAGUUCCAAGAGGCAAGCCUCUUGGAACUAAGCAGUGGCGGACGGGUGAGUAACACGUAGGCAACCUACCUGUCAAACCGGGAUAACCUCGGGAAACCGAAGCUAAACCCGGAUAAGCUCCUUUUUCGCAUGAAGGGGGAGUGAAAAGGUGCGACCUGAUGACAGAUGGGCCUGCGGCGCAUUAGCUAGUAGGUAGGGUAACGGCCUACCUAGGCGAUGAUGCGUAGCCGACCUGAGAGGGCGUACGGCCACACUGGGACUGAGAUACGGCCCAGACUCCUACGGGAGGCAGCAGUAGGGAAUCUUCGGCAAUGGGCGAAAGCCUGACCGAGCAACGCCGCGUGAGUGAGGAAGGCCUUCGGGUUGUAAAACUCUGUUGUUUGGGAAGAAGGGAAAGGGUAGGACCCUUAGGUGACGGUACCAAACGAGAAAGCCCCGGCUAACUACGUG